UUAAUAGUAAGAUCUGCUCAAUGAAUAUUCAAUAGCCGCAAUCUCGUGCUAAGGUAGCAUAAUCAUUUGUCUUUCAAAUGAAGACUAGAACAAAAGAUUUAACAUUUCAGUUAUUUUAUUUAUAAAAAUUUCAAAAUUUUCCUAAAAGUAAAAAGACUUUUAUAAUAUAGAAAGACGACAAGACCCUAUUGAACUUAACUUUAGUUAAACUGGGGCAGUUAAUUAAUUAUUAUUUUAAUAAUAAUAUAACUAUAAAUAUCCAAUAUAUUGAUAAUCCAGUUACCAUAGGGAUAACAGCAUAAUUAAAUUCUAAAGACCUUAUUUAAAAUAUAGAUUAUGACCUCGAUGUUGAAUUAAUAACCUAAUUUAAGCAAGAUUUAAUAAAGGAAGUCUGUUCGACUUUUAAAAAAUUACAUGAUUUGAGUUCAGACCGGUGUAAGCCAGGUCGGUUUCUAUCUUCUAUAAAGUUUUUUGUAGUACGAAAGGACCUAAAAAUAUUUUAUUAUAAUAUUGGCAGAACAAUGCAUUAGAAUUAGAAUCUAAUUAAUCUUAU
rnacentral:rRNA from 1 species